rnacentral:lncRNA from 1 species
CUCAGUGGUCACACAGGAAUCUGUGAGGGAUGUGUGUACCACGGGUGGGGAUCUCUGGGAGCCAUGGUGAAGGCUGCCCACCUCACAGAUCAAGAUGAGGCUCUUGGGUCUCUUUCUAAACAGAAGAGGAAACAAUGGAGAGGUUUGAAUCCAGAGGAUGACAGUGUCUGGAUUUCAUUCAUCAACCCUCUCCUUGUGCUGACAUUGAAAUGAGGCCAAGAGAGGAAGUGCCUGUUGCAAUAGCGCAUUGCUGAACCCAGGCCUGGUUUGAGUGGUGUUCAUGCUACAUCCCUUCUCGUAAUUCUUCCAUCUCUUUGUUUGUGCAUUACUUGCACUUGACACCACCUCACAGGUGGUAUGGAUAUUAUUUCAUAUACACCUGAUGAUGUCCCUAGCAAGUAGAUUCUAGGCGGAUUCCCCUUGGGCAGGUUUGGAGACUGGGGAGGCCCUGAGAGGCACAAUGAGUUUUCCAGGACAGAGAACUGGUAAGAUAAAGGAGGUCUGAAUUCUGCUCCGCCUCCUCAAAGCUGGGACCCUCAUCACAUUCCCAGGGAGCUGUGGCUGGGGCUGUGGAAGCUCCUCUGUAGAGUUAAGAAGAAGACAUGGGGGUGGUUUGGGUAGGUCCGAUUACAGGAAGCAGCCCAGGUAAUGGAAUCUUGAAAAAGUGACCUCACUUCCUUGGCGAUAGACCCCAACAGACUUAGAACUCUGGUAACCAGGCAGUUAAUUCUAGAGACAGACCCCUAGCCAGUUCAUUUGACUGGAGACACUUCAGAGAAGAACAUGUUUCCUUGUUGUAUCCCAGUUUUCAGAGGCUCUAGGCUCAGGAAAGCCCAGAGUGUGAGACUGUUGUGUUGUUGUGGACAUCGGAUCAAGCCUCAUGGCCAAUUUGGCAGGAGGUACCCAAAGAACUCCACACAGGAGACCUUUGAAGAGCUACGUGGUGGGUUCGACUUCUCUCCCUCCCUAGUCAAGGGGCAGGAGCAGCAGGCCGCCAGCAGCAUCCUGUGCCGGUCUGAGGAACCCACCCUGUCCGUGGCUGAGGCCCGCACGAUGCUGACCCUCAAGGCAGGCGCAGUGCAGAAG